rnacentral:rRNA from 1 species
GUCGGAAUCGCUAGUAAUCGUGGAUCAGCAUGCCACGGUGAAUACGUUCCCGGGCCUUGUACACACCGCCCGUCACACCAUGAGAGUUUGUAACACCCAAAGCCGGUGAGGUAACCUUCGGGGACUAGCCGUCUAAGGUGGGACAGAUGAUUAGGGUGAAGUCGUAACAAGGUAGCCGUAGGAGAACCUGCGGCUGGAUCACCUCCUUUC